rnacentral:rRNA from 1 species
UUGAAGAGUUUGAUCAUGGCUCAGAUUGAACGCUGGCGGCAGGCCUAACACAUGCAAGUCGAACGGUAACAGAAAGCAGCUUGCUGCUUUGCUGACGAGUGGCGGACGGGUGAGUAAUGUCUGGGAAACUGCCUGAUGGAGGGGGAUAACUACUGGAAACGGUAGCUAAUACCGCAUAAUGUCGCAAGACCAAAGAGGGGGACCUUCGGGCCUCUUGCCAUCGGAUGUGCCCAGAUGGGAUUAGCUAGUAGGUGGGGUAACGGCUCACCUAGGCGACGAUCCCUAGCUGGUCUGAGAGGAUGACCAGCCACACUGGAACUGAGACACGGUCCAGACUCCUACGGGAGGCAGCAGUGGGGAAUAUUGCACAAUGGGCGCAAGCCUGAUGCAGCCAUGCCGCGUGUAUGAAGAAGGCCUUCGGGUUGUAAAGUACUUUCAGCGGGGAGGAAGGGAGUAAAGUUAAUACCUUUGCUCAUUGACGUUACCCGCAGAAGAAGCACCGGCUAACUCCGUGCCAGCAGCCGCGGUAAUACGGAGGGUGCAAGCGUUAAUCGGAAUUACUGGGCGUAAAGCGCACGCAGGCGGUUUGUUAAGUCAGAUGUGAAAUCCCCGGGCUCAACCUGGGAACUGCAUCUGAUACUGGCAAGCUUGAGUCUCGUAGAGGGGGUAGAAUUCCAGGUGUAGCGGUGAAAUGCGUAGAGAUCUGGAGGAAUACCGGUGGCGAAGGCGGCCCCCUGGACGAAGACUGACGCUCAGGUGCGAAAGCGUGGGGAGCAAACAGGAUUAGAUACCCUGGUAGUCCACGCCGUAAACGAUGUCGACUUGGAGGUUGUGCCCUUGAGGCGUGGCUUCCGGAGCUAACGCGUUAAGUCGACCGCCUGGGGAGUACGGCCGCAAGGUUAAAACUCAAAUGAAUUGACGGGGGCCCGCACAAGCGGUGGAGCAUGUGGUUUAAUUCGAUGCAACGCGAAGAACCUUACCUGGUCUUGACAUCCACGGAAGUUUUCAGAGAUGAGAAUGUGCCUUCGGGAACCGUGAGACAGGUGCUGCAUGGCUGUCGUCAGCUCGUGUUGUGAAAUGUUGGGUUAAGUCCCGCAACGAGCGCAACCCUUAUCCUUUGUUGCCAGCGGUCCGGCCGGGAACUCAAAGGAGACUGCCAGUGAUAAACUGGAGGAAGGUGGGGAUGACGUCAAGUCAUCAUGGCCCUUACGACCAGGGCUACACACGUGCUACAAUGGCGCAUACAAAGAGAAGCGACCUCGCGAGAGCAAGCGGACCUCAUAAAGUGCGUCGUAGUCCGGAUUGGAGUCUGCAACUCGACUCCAUGAAGUCGGAAUCGCUAGUAAUCGUGGAUCAGAAUGCCACGGUGAAUACGUUCCCGGGCCUUGUACACACCGCCCGUCACACCAUGGGAGUGGGUUGCAAAAGAAGUAGGUAGCUUAACCUUCGGGAGGGCGCUUACCACUUUGUGAUUCAUGACUGGGGUGAAGUCGUAACAAGGUAACCGUAGGGGAACCUGCGGUUGGAUCACCUCCUU